UACGGAGGGUGCAAGCGUUAUCCGGAUUCACUGGGUUUAAAGGGUGCGUAGGCGGGGUGGUAAGUCAGUGGUGAAAUCUCCGAGCUUAACUUGGAAACUGCCAUUGAUACUAUCAUUCUUGAAUAUUGUGGAGGUCAGCGGAAUAUGUCAUGUAGCGGUGAAAUGCUUAGAUAUGACAUAGAACACCAAUUGCGAAGGCAGCUCACUACACGAAUAUUGACACUGAGGCACGAAAGCGUGGGGAUCAAACAGG
rnacentral:rRNA from 1 species